rnacentral:rRNA from 1 species
UACGUAGGGUGCAAGCGUUAAUCGGAAUUACUGGGCGUAAAGCGUGCGCAGGCGGCCGGAUCAGUCGGGUGUGAAAGCCCGGGGCUCAACCGGGGAACUGCGUCCGAUACUGGUGGGCUCAAAUCCGGGAGGAGGGAUGUGGAAUUCCAGGUGUAGCGGUGAAAUGCGUAGAUAUCUGGAGGAGCACCGGUGGCGAAGGCGGCAUCCUGGACCGGCAUUGACGCUGAGGCGCGAAAGCCAGGGGAGCAAACGGG